AGGCAUCAGUGGGGAAUAUUGCACAAUGGGGGAAACCCUGAUGCAGCCAUGCCGCGUGUGUGAAGAAGGCCUUCGGGUUGUAAAGCACUUUCAGUAGGGAGGAAGGUAGUGUAGUUAACACCUGCAUUAUUUGACGUUACCUACAGAAGAAGCACCGGCUAACUCCGUGCCAGCAGCCGCGGUAAUACGGAGGGUGCGAGCGUUAAUCGGAAUUACUGGGCGUAAAGCGCAUGCAGGCGGCCUGUUAAGUCAGAUGUGAAAGCCCGGGGCUUAACCUCGGAAUUGCAUUUGAAACUGGCAGGCUAGAGUCUUGUAGAGGGGGGUAGGAAUUUCAGGUGUAGCGGUGAAAUGCGUAGAGAUCUGAAGGAAUACCAGUGGCGAAGGCGGCCCCCUGGACAAAGACUGACGCUCAGAUGCGAAAGCGUGGGGAGCAAACAGGAUUAGAUACCCUGGUAG
rnacentral:rRNA from 1 species